AGCUCGUUAGCAGCUUGUCUCGUCGAAUAUGUAAACCCGGGGCUUAACCCCGGNUCUGCAUUCGAUACUGGCUAGCUAGAGUGUGGUAGGGGAGAUCGGAAUUCCUGGUGUAGCGGUGAAAUGCGCAGAUAUCAGGAGGAACACCGGUGGCGAAGGCGGAUCUCUGGGCCAUUACUGACGCUGAGGAGCGAAAGCGUGGGGAGCGAACAGGAUUAGAUACCCUGGUAGUCCACGCCGUAAACGUGGGAACUAGGUUGUUGGCGACAUUCCACGUUCGUCAGGUGCCGCAGCUAACCG
rnacentral:rRNA from 1 species